CUGCGCACCGCGUCUCUUCCUUUCUGGGCUCGGACCUACAUCGCGGCGACAUGGUGAGUGUGGGUUACUGUGCGGCCUAGAUCUCUAUCUACCUGCAUCUGUCCUUGUUUUCUUCUCCCGCACCCGUCUCCUCACCUGCUUGCCCCGUGUUCUCUCCUGUCUCCAUGCCUUCGCGGGAGACAUCAUUGUCGGAAGCUGCCCAAGGCGGAGGGGCGGGGGGGGGCGCCUUGGCUGGGCCUGGCGCGCUCCGGCCAGGUUAACGCUGGGCUUUCGGAGCGCGCGGCCAGCUCUGGGCACUGGUUUUGUUGGGUUGAAUUUAGGGAAAACUAGGUCACAUGUAAUUCACAUGUCGGUCACACGUCAGUGAGGUGAAGGAACGGUGUGUGGAGGCCCCGGGGCCUGCCUGGGUUCCAGGUUUAACUAUCACUGGUUUCUCACUUCACUCUGAACAGGCCAAACGUACCAAGAAAGUCGGGAUCGUCGGUAAAUACGGGACCCGCUAUGGGGCCUCCCUCCGGAAAAUGGUGAAGAAGAUUGAAAUCAGCCAGCACGCCAAGUACACUUGCUCUUUUUGUGGCAAAACCAAGAUGAAGAGACGAGCUGUGGGGAUCUGGCACUGUGGUUCCUGCAUGAAGACAGUGGCUGGCGGUGCCUGGACGUACAAGUGAGUCUGUUUCCUUGUAUUUGGAAGUGUGUGGACCACAUAGGCCCAGAUUCCAGGUUGUUGCUGGAUGGGCAAGUUUUAACACUUUCUCAGGACUGAGAGAAUAAGGAUGUCUUUGUAUUUUCAGAAUUCCUCCGUGGUGGUUUAUUUUCAGUUAUUGAAAGAGUAAACACAAAACUACCAAAAUAGAAGUCGGAAAUCUGAUUCACAGACUACUUUAGAAUUUGAUGGUCACUGGGCACAUCGUUGUGAACAUUGUCAUGAUACUGUGCAGGUCCAUUAGUGGGGCUGAAUCUACUGAACGUUGAUUGGCACUGCAAAUUUUGAUAAAAAUAGGUGAAGAGGUCAGUUAGUUCCAAACUGUAUUUGAAAACUUGAGGCCAUAAGGACCACCACAGUUUCAUCUUUCUGAACAGUAUUAGACUGCUGCAGGUUUGUGAAUCUGCAACUCAAUAUCACCUGACAGGGCGAUACUACAAACACUAUACUACAAACUAGUGUCUAGACCUGUGUUGUCCAGUACACUAAGCACAUAUAUGGCUAGUGUAAUUAAAUAAUUGGAUUUUAAAGUUUCAGUCAAUUUAAACUUAAACCGAAGCAGUGGAAAAUGUUGAAAUAUAUAUAUAUUCCUUGUGGGGGUUUUUAUUAGGGCAGAAUGGAAAAUGGGAACUAGAGUGCUUUCUUGGUUCUGAUAGGAAAGUGAAUUAGCAUUUAUAUACUCACCAUAUAGGAUGGUGAUUUUCAGGUAUAGUUCCUGAAUUUUGUGGUAAAACUUUUGUAGUCAUUUCAAUAGCUGUCUUUCCCAAAGGCACUUUAGUGUCCGCUCUGUUUCCUUAAUCAUUGUUCUCACUGUACCAUCUUGUAAUUUAUUGAUUUCUUGUAAUCUGUCCAUGCCCUUUUAAUAAGUUUAGGUCAGCCUCUUAGAACCAUUUCUUUUUCAUGGGAUGGGGUAGGGGGAGUUAAAGCUAGCUUGUCCACAACUGAGUUACUUUAAAAAAAAAAAAAAAAACUCUGGUUGAGAAAUCAGAUGCAUGAGAUUGUAUGUCUAAUUCUGCAAGAUCCUGAAGGCAUGGCUCUUAAAGGAUGCCAUCAUGUAGUUUAGAAGCCACUAAUAUCCGAGGAGUAACCUAAUGUUGGUUAGAUCUUUGGAUUGACUGCGGCAAAGUAUUGGUAGAGCAGUCUAUCUCAGUAUAAUUCUUUCUAGGAAAAUUUGGGAAGAGACUUUAACACAAAAACGAGGCAGAUUUACUUAUUUGCCAUUUUCUAUGUUAACAUGCUUAAUUAUGUUGGAAACUGAAUCUUUCUUUCCAGUACCACUUCCGCUGUCACGGUAAAGUCCGCCAUCAGAAGACUGAAGGAGUUGAAAGACCAGUAGACGCUCAUCUACUCUUUGAGACAUGACUGGCCUAUAAUAAAUGAGUUAAUUU
rnacentral:sRNA from 1 species